CAUGGCGGGGGAAGCGGACAUAUUUCGGCUGCUACACAGGGAAUAACCGAUGUUCGAACCAGAAACAAAACAAGACACUGCACCUCUGAAAUGUAUUUGAUUUCUACAUAUUACACUCAUGAUAACAAUAUCGAGAGGUGACCUACAUCCAAAAAUACAAAAUGGACAGAUGGGCUAAUGUGAUCCUCAUGAAGCACAAGAUGGGAUCAGGUGUCAUGGGGGACGAUUGACAGAAAAGCGUGAGAUUCCACCAGACAAUUCACGUACAGUGCAACUGGCGAAUGGACUCGUGAUGUAUCU